rnacentral:rRNA from 1 species
UACGUAGGGUGCGAGCGUUGUUCGGAGUUACUGGGCGUAAAGGGUGUGUAGGCGGUUGUUUAAGUUUGGUGUGAAAUCUCCCGGCUCAACUGGGAGGGUGCGCCGAAUACUGAAUGACUAGAGUGUGGGAGAGGUGAGUGGAAUUCCUGGUGUAGCGGUGAAAUGCGUAGAUAUCAGGAGGAACACCCAUGGCGAAGGCAGCUCUCUGGCCUAUAACUGACGCUGAGGUGCGAAAGCGUGGGGAGCAAACGGG